rnacentral:rRNA from 1 species
UAUUGGACAAUGGGGGGAACCCUGAUCCAGCGACGCCGCGUGAGUGAAGAAGUAUCUCGGUAUGUAAAGCUCUAUCAGAAGGGAAAAAGAAAUGACGGUACAUGAGUAAGAAUCCUCGGCUAACUACGUGCGAGCAGCCGCGGUAAUACGUAGGGGGCAAGCGUUAUCCGGAAUUACUGGGUGUAAAGGGAGCGUAAACGGUGAUGUAAGUCUGGAGUGAAAGGCGGGGGCCCAACCCCCGGACUGCUCUGGAAACUAUGUGACUGGAGUGCAGGAGAGGUGAGCGGAAUUCCUAGUGUAGCGGUGAAAUGCGUAGAUAUUAGGAGGAACACCAGUGGCGAAGGCGGCUCACUGGACUGUAACUGACGUUGAGGCUCGAAAGCGUGGGGAGCAAACAGG